rnacentral:rRNA from 1 species
GGUUAAGCGACUAAGCGUACACGGUGGAUGCCCUGGCAGUCAGAGGCGAUGAAGGACGUGCUAAUCUGCGAUAAGCGUCGGUGAGGUGAUAUGAACCGUUAUAACCGGCGAUUUCCGAAUGGGGAAACCCAGUGUGUUUCGACACACUAUCAUUAACUGAAUCCAUAGGUUAAUGAGGCGAACCGGGGGAACUGAAACAUCUAAGUACCCCGAGGAAAAGAAAUCAACCGAGAUUCCCCCAGUAGCGGCGAGCGAACGGGGAGGAGCCCAGAGCCUGAAUCAGUGUGUGUGUUAGUGGAAGCGUCUGGAAAGGCGCGCGAUACAG